rnacentral:rRNA from 1 species
GACGAAUGCUGGCGGUAUGCUUAACACAUGCAAGUCGUACGAGGUUCGUUCAUCAGUCGGCUUUCGGGUCGACCGGACGGACUGCAGUGGCGGACGGGUGCGUAACGCGUAAGAACUUACCUUUUGGUGGGGGAUAACAACGGGAAACUGUUGCUAAGACCCCAUAAUGCUGAGGAGCUAAAAGUGAAAACUGCCAAGAGAGAGGCUUGCGUCGGAUUAUAUAGUUGGUGGGGGUAAAGGCCUCCCAAGGCGACGAUCAGUAGCUGGUCUGAGAGGAUGAUCAGCCACACUGGGACCGAGACACGGUCCAGACUCCUACGGGAGGCAGCAGUGGGGAAUAUUGCACAAUGGGCGCAAGCCUGAUGUAGCCAUGCCGCGUGUAUGAAGAAGGCCUUCGGGUUGUAAAGUACUUUCAGCGGGGAGGAAGGCGCCAGGGUUAAUAACCCUGUCGAUUGACGUUACCCGCAGAAGAAGCACCGGCUAACUCCGUGCCAGCCGCCGCGGUAAGAC